rnacentral:tRNA from 1 species
UUAUUGGUGGCCCAAUCGGUGAUCGUAUUGGUCGUAAAUAUGUGAUCUGGUUUUCGAUUCUUGGGGCGGCAC